rnacentral:rRNA from 1 species
GAUGAACGCUGGCGGCGUGCCUAAUACAUGCAAGUCGAGCGAACGGACGAGAAGCUUGCUUCUCUGAUGUUAGCGGCGGACGGGUGAGUAACACGUGUAUAACCUACCUAUAAGACUGGGAUAACUUCGGGAAACCGGAGCUAAUACCGUAUAAUAUUUUGCACCGCAUGGUUCAAAAGUGAAAGACGGUCUUUCUGUCACUUCUCGCUGGAUCCGCGCUGCAUUAGCUAGUUGGUAAGUUAACGGCUUACCAAGGCAACGAUGCAUAGCCGAACUGAGAGGGUGAUAGGCGACACGAGAACGGAGACAGGGUCAAGAGUCCUAAGGGAGGGAGCAGAAGGGAAUGUUCCGCAAUGGGCGAAAGCAUGACGGAGCAACGCCGAGUGAGUGAUGAAGGUCUUCGGAGCGUAAAACUCGGUUAUUAGGGAAGAACAGAUGUGGAAGGAAAUGUGCAGAGCGUGACGGUACCUAAUCAGAAAGCCACGGCUAACUACGUG